UGGGGAAUUUUGGACAAUGGGCGCAAGCCUGAUCCAGCCAUACCGCGUGAGUGAAGAAGGCCUUCGGGUUGUAAAGCUCUUUCAGACGGAAAGAAACGGUUACGGCUAAUACCCGUGACUAAUGACGGUACCGUAAGAAGAAGCACCGGCUAACUACGUGCCAGCAGCCGCGGUAAUACGUAGGGUGCGAGCGUUAAUCGGAAUUACUGGGCGUAAAGGGCGCGUAGGCGGCAUGACAAGUCACUUGUGAAAUCUCUGGGCUUAACCCAGAACGGCCAAGUGAUACUGUCGCGCUAGAGUGCAGAAGGGGCAAUCGGAAUUCUUGGUGUAGCGGUGAAAUGCGUAGAUAUCAAGAGGAACACCUGAGGUGAAGACGGGUUGCUGGGCUGACACUGACGCUGAGGCGCGAAAGCCAGGGGAGCAAACGGGAUUAGAU
rnacentral:rRNA from 1 species